rnacentral:rRNA from 1 species
UUAAGUGAAUAAGGGCGCACGGUGGAUGCCUUGGCACUAGGAGCCGAUGAAGGACGGGACUAACACCGAUAUGCUUCGGGGAGCUGUAAGUAAGCUUUGAUCCGGAGAUUUCCGAAUGGGGGAACCCAGCAUCUUUUAUAGGAUGUUACUUUUCAGUGAAUACAUAGCUGAUUAGAGGUAGACGCAGAGAACUGAAACAUCUAAGUACCUGCAGGAAGAGAAAGAAAAAUCGAUUCCCUGAGUAGCGGCGAGCGAAACGGGAAAAGCCCAAACCAAGAGGCUUGCCUCUUGGGGUUGUAGGACUCCGAUAUGGUAGUCCAGUGAGAUAGUCGAAGGACCUGGAAAGGUCUGCUAGAAAGGGUAAAAGCCCCGUAGACAAAAUUUGACUGGCACCUAGGAGGAUCCUGAGUACGGCGGAACACGAGGAAUUCCGUCGGAAUCCGGGAGGACCAUCUCCCAAGGCUAAAUACUCCCUAGUGACCGAUAGUGAACCAGUACCGUGAGGGAAAGGUGAAAAGCACCCCGGAAGGGGAGUGAAAUAGAUCCUGAAACCGUGUGCCUACAACAAGUUAGAGCCCGUUAAUGGGUGAUAGCGUGCCUUUUGUAGAAUGAACCGGCGAGUUACGAUUACUUGCGAGGUUAAGUUGAAAAGACGGAGCCGCAGCGAAAGCGAGUCUGAAUAGGGCGAAUGAGUAAGUGGUCGUAGACCCGAAACCAUGUGAUCUACCCAUGUCCAGGUUGAAGGUGCGGUAAAACGCACUGGAGGACCGAACCCACGUACGUUGAAAAGUGCGGGGAUGAGGUGUGGGUAGCGGAGAAAUUCCAAACGAACUUGGAGAUAGCUGGUUCUCUCCGAAAUAGCUUUAGGGCUAGCCUCAGAGUAAGAAUGAUGGAGGUAGAGCACUGUUUGGACUAGGGGCCCAUCUCGGGUUACCGAAUUCAGAUAAACUCCGAAUGCCAUUCAUUCAUAUCCGGGAGUCAGACUGUGAGUGAUAAGAUCCAUAGUCGAAAGGGAAACAGCCCAGACCACCAGCUAAGGUCCCCAAAUAACUAUUAAGUGGAAAAGGAUGUGGGGUUGCACAGACAACUAGGAUGUUGGCUUAGAAGCAGCCACCAUUUAAAGAGUGCGUAAUAGCUCACUAGUCGAGUGACCCUGCGCCGAAAAUGUACCGGGGCUAAAUAGUUUACCGAAGCUGUGGAACACACCAAUAGGUGUGUUGGUAGGAGAGCGUUCUAAGGGCGUUGAAGGUAGAUCGUGAGGACUGCUGGAGCGCUUAGAAGUGAGAAUGCCGGUAUGAGUAGCGAAAGACAGGUGAGAAUCCUGUCCACCGAAUGACUAAGGUUUCCUGGGGAAGGCUCGUCCGCCCAGGGUUAGUCGGGACCUAAGCCGAGGCCGAUAGGCGUAGGCGAUGGAUAACAGGUUGAUAUUCCUGUACCCGUUGUUUUUGUUUGAGCAAUGGAGGGACGCAGGAGGCUAAGGAAUCAGACGAUUGGAAAUGUCUGUCCAAGCAAUAAGUCUUGAUGUGAGUCAAAUGCUUACGUCUUUAAGGACAAGUUGUGAUGGGGAGGGAAAUAAUAGUACCGAAGUUCCUGAUGUCACACUGCCGAGAAAAGCUUCUAGUGAGAAAACAAUGGCCCGUACCGCAAACCGACACAGGUAGUCGAGGAGAGAAUCCUAAGGUGAGCGAGAGAACUCUCGUUAAGGAACUCGGCAAAAUGACCCCGUAACUUCGGGAGAAGGGGUGCUGAUCUAACGAUCAGCCGCAGUGAAUAGGCCCAAGCGACUGUUUAUCAAAAACACAGGUCUCUGCAAAAUCGAAAGAUGACGUAUAGGGGCUGACGCCUGCCCGGUGCUGGAAGGUUAAGAGGAGUGCUUAGCGUAAGCGAAGGUACGAAUUGAAGCCCCAGUAAACGGCGGCCGUAACUAUAACGGUCCUAAGGUAGCGAAAUUCCUUGUCGGGUAAGUUCCG